AAAAAAGGUGGGGUAAGCUGUCUGGGGUAUGCGAAGGGGGUGAGGGGUGGUGGGAAGGACUGGGGGUUAAUCGCGCGGCAGCGGCUAUCCAAGUCAGUGUGGUAAGACCGGUGCUGAGCGCCGGAACUGCCAUUGAAACUGUUUAGCUGGAGUAUGAGAGAGGUGAGUGGAAUGCCCAGUGUAGAGGUGAAAUUCGUAGAUAUUGGGAGGAACACCGGUGGCGAAGGCGGCUCACUGGCUCAUUACUGACGCUCAUGCGCGACAGCGUGGGGAUCAAACAGGAUUAGAUACCCCUGUAGUC
rnacentral:rRNA from 1 species